UGGCCAAACCCGUUGAGGUCAAAGCUAGUGAAUGAGUCAUCUGUCCAGUGCGGUCAGUGAGUCAGGCAGGGCCUGCUCAAGGCCCGGGGUGCCAUCACAUUCGUUUCCCCCUUUCUCCUGGAACCCAGAAGCUUCUAGAAGCAGCCUCUGCAAGUUAUCAUCCCUGACAAAUGAACAGCAAAAUGGCGCCAACACCCCACCCUUGCGCCACACCUUCUGUGUGGUCCAGAAGAUAAGGACAGAAGUCUUAGCAGGCAGAGCGAGCACGUGGGGUGCAUCUUUGGGAAGAAAGCUCACUGGUCUCUCUUGGCCGUGACUCCCUCUUCUAGGCACGUGGCAGUGGCUGAGGCCCCACUGCAAGGCUCCUCAGUUGCCCCACAGGCAAUGAGCCCCUGAAGUUCACCCGUGUGUUAACGAGUUCAUAGCCUUCUCUGAUAUCUGUGGCUGAGUGAUGACACACUUUAAUUCUUUUCCAUGGGAGAAGACACAAGGGGAUCCAGCCAGCCUCUUGAGAUAAGCAGUGUUAAGCCGAACACAUAGUUGGCACUACGCUGACUCCAGUGAGGAUGUUCUGAACACGGUGUGACUUUGGACAAGUUGCUUAACCUCUCUGGGCUUCAUUUCUCUUAAGUGAGGGGGCUGAAUGACACAGCACACCAGGCCUGAUCAGAGAGCUGUGUGCAGUGAUUGCACAAUAGAGGCUGGCUCCGUCCUCGUGCCUGGGUGUGCAGGGUGACGGAUUACCCUUGCCAAUCCAUAGGGUGGGCCAAUGCAGAAGAAAGGUACCAGGGACAGGAGGUGCUGCGUUAAAAGAGCUACGCAGGUUCAGACUCUAUCCAGGGCUGCUGCAGGGAUCUCUGAGGAAAGCUCCAGGCCAUCUGGGAGCCAGGGGCUUCAGUCAGCAUGGCCGACAUGGAGCUUGCAGAAACUGCAUCCUCAGGAGAGGGAGGUGGGCACGGCCACAUGCCAGAUCUGCAUUGAUAGCUCCCAGCUGUGUGACCCUGGGCAUGCCCCUCCUCUGAGCUUAGCGACCUCCCCUUUACGGGACUGUGGCUGAGACCAGGGGGCGACACCUGUUUAUCACCUGGCACUAAAGAAAGCUUAGCCUUCACCAGGAUUCUUAACGAUGCUCUGCUAUGUCACAGACUGAGGACCUACUAUGUGCUGGGCAUCAGUUACCACAGAGGAGAAAAGAAUGACCCGGCCCUGCAGUCAGCAAGUGCGCAGUCCAGCGGCCUAAGACAGGGGUGAAUUGGCUUCCUCACCCGGAGUAUUCCAGAGCCUGGGAGGAGGAGGGGGAGAGGGAGGGAGGAAGCGAGGUGUCUCCAUCUGCUUAGACAGCCCCUUUGCUGUGAGAGAAGAGUAUUGGGGAGCUCAGAAGACCAGGACAGACAGAGCAGUGUGACCAAAGCUGUGGGGGUAGAAAAGGCCUAGAACAUCUGAGGAACACAAGCUCACUGAGUUUUCUUAGAACCCAAGAGCAAAAUCAAAUCAAGUGGGAGCCAGCCAGAAGGUCAAAGAGAUGGGGAGACCCAUGCUGGAGGGCUUUUUUUUUGGGGGGGGGAACUGGAGUCACGGAAUGUUAUGAGCAAGAAGAAUCUUGUAGCUUAGAUUUAAAAUGUCCCCCCAAAAGCUCAUGUGUUGAAGGCUUGGCCCCCACUGCAACAGUGUUCAGGGAGAAACUUUGGGGAAGUGACACCCAUCUUUUCAGUGGAUGUGAUGGUGUGCUCAGAGUGUGAAGGCCUAGAGGCAGAGGGGGAACUAGAAGAGGGAACGGAAGGGAGUGGGUCCUUGUGGUCCCUUUUGUCUUCUUUGCUUCUAAGCCUCUCCACUCUGCUUUGAACUCCGCAUUCUUCCUCACCACAGGCCCACUGUGAUGGUGCCCAGCAACCAUGGGCUGCCCCUGCAUCCUCUCUCUAAAUUGUUUAUCUCAGGCAUUAUAUGACAAGGAUAGGAUGCAGACUGACGCGGGAGACAAAGGGAAAGAGGGAAGGGCAUUGUGGGAUAUCGCCCCUCCCCUGGGAACAAUUCUACAGGGUCCCGCCAGGUCUUUCUCUCAUUUAAUUUAAUUCUGGAUGGACAGUAUUCCCAGUUUAUAAAUAUGGAAACUGGGGCUCACUAAUAGUAAGCCACCUGCCCAACAUUACAGAGGAGACAGUGAGCAGGGAACCCUGUUCGUCCAUAGUGGAAGCUUCUCCCCUUUUCCUCCUCUGACCCUCAAGACAGAUCCAAAAUGAACUCAGAAAGGUUCAUAGGCCGAGGCCGACCCUGUGCUAAGUGUCCGUCUGCACAGGGCCCAGAUAGAAACCGAGGCUUUUCUCCACAGUCCCAGGGAGGUUAAGUGACUGUUGGCACUCAGAAGAUGGUGUGGGGGGGGGAGGGCAGGCUGAGUCUUUUGGCUGCUUCCCUGCUUCCUACCACCCCACACCACCCCUAGAGUUGUUCCUAAGCACACCUGGAACAGGGAAGUGCUCAGGCCAGUGGGGGCCAGCCUUUCCCCGAGUUCACACCUACUGUUCACACCUACUGACUCAUCCUGCUCUGGGCUCAGAGCAGCUAGCUGAGCCCACAGUGCCAGCCGCUCACCCUUCCAACUCAGCAGAAGCCUCUCUGGCUCUACCCCUGUCACCAGGGUGUUUAUUCUCACUGCCUGGACUGAGACCUUGGGUGGCUGUACCUUCGGUAACUCUUUCUGAACAAGUGGACCAUAGGCCAAGUCCCUUGCGGUCCAGGAGAGCACCUUCUCUCAGCUGGAGCUCCAACCAAUCAAUGCUUCUAGGUGUCUCUCAAGGCCCACCUGGUGUGACCCGCUGAGGUUCUGAUGCCAGAUUCUGAAACACACAGUCCAGGGGUCUCAUGAUACAAGGAUCACUGCUGGGAAGGGGAAAAACUGAGUUGAUGACUCAGAGGAGGGGAAAGGUCUGGGUGUCCUGCUCCUCCCGCUUCACAAGGGAAUGUCACCAAGCCAUGCUGCAUGGUACCCAUUGUACAGAUACUGCCUUGAAGACUCGGCAGAAAAGAGAACGGCCGGCUCGCUAUCCGUCAGCAGGCGGCUGGGUUCCAGCCUGCUCUUGAUGCUCCUUCCAGGGAGAGAAGAGAGCGGAACUCCACAGAGACCAUCAGAUAUUUGACUUCAGUGCCAGACCAUGCCACUGGAUUUGUAUAAAAAGCUCUUUUUGAAAAGUUUGGGAAG